UACGUAGGGUGCAAGCGUUGUCCGGAAUUAUUGGCGUAAAGAGCUCGUAGGCGGUUUGUCGCGUCUGCUGUGAAAACUCGGGCUUAACCCCGGCCUGCAGUGGGUACGGGCAGACUAGAGUCCGGAAGAGGAGAGUGGAAUUCCCGGUGUAGCGGUGAAAUGCGCAGAUAUCGGGAAGAACACCCGUGGCGAAGGCGGCUCUCUGGGACGGUACUGACGCUGAGACGCGAAAGCGUGGGAGCGAACGAGG
rnacentral:rRNA from 1 species